CGCGAAGUAGAGCAGCGGUAGCUCGUCGCCUUCGCAACUAACUUCAAACCCUUGGCAAAAAACCCAAGGGUUUUUUAUUUUAUCGGAGAGCUCAUAUCUGCCGCGGCGGACGGUGGUUCGAUCCCACCCUUCGCAA
rnacentral:tRNA from 1 species